rnacentral:rRNA from 1 species
UACAGAGGAGCCAAGCGUUGUCCGGAUUGACUGGGCGUAAAGCGCACGCAGGCGGUCGGGCGCGUGGGGUGUGAAAUCUGGCCGCUUAACGGCCAGGCGCCAUCCCAUACGGCACGACUGGAGUGAUGCAGAGGUCGAUGGAAUUGCCGGUGUAGUGGUGAAAUGCGUAGAGAUCGGCAGGAACACCCAGGGGGAAACCAGUCGACUGGGCAUCUACUGACGCUGAGGUGCGAGAGCGUGGGGAGCGAACAGG